rnacentral:misc_RNA from 1 species
GCAAACUUGGUCAUUUAGAGGAAGUAAAAGUCGUAACAAGGUUUCCGUAGGUGAACCUGCGGAAGGAUCAUUAUUGAAUAACCUUGUGUAGGUUGUUGCUGACCUCCUUGGAGGUAUGUGCACACCUGCCAUUGUUUCAUUCAUCCCUUCCACCUGUGCACCCCCUGUAGACCCACGCCGUCGCUUUUCAGGUGCUUUCAACCAUCUGGUAUGAGGACUUGCUCUCGCUGUCCUUGGGUGGUGUGUGGUCUAUGUCUUUACCAACACCUAUUGUAUGUCAUUGAAUGUUUGCUCUGGGUUCUCUCUGUAGACCCAUAAAAAUCUAUACAACUUUCAACAACGGAUCUCUUGGCUCUCGCAUCGAUGAAGAACGCAGC